UAGUGAGCGGGCCAUUUUCGGGCCAAAUUGGGUGGUAACGCGGAAGUCCACGGCUUUCGUCCCA
rnacentral:sRNA from 1 species